rnacentral:rRNA from 1 species
UACGAAGGGUGCAAGCGUUACUCGGAAUUACUGGGCGUAAAGCGCGUGUAGGCGGAUCGUUAAGUCGGGGGUGAAAUCCUGAGGCUCAACCUCAGAACUGCCUUCGAUACUGGCGAUCUUAGAGUCCGGGAGAGGUGAGUGGAACUCCUAGUGUAGAGGUGAAAUUCGUAGAUAUUAGGAAGAACACCAGUGGCGAAGGCGGCUCACUGGCCCGGUACUGACGCUGAUAUGCGAAAGCGUGGGGAGCAAACAGG